AUUUCAGCAUAAGUAUAUCCCAUGCAAUAGUUGGGACAUACUUAUGCUUAAA
rnacentral:pre_miRNA from 1 species